GGGGAUAGCCCUCCGAAAGGAGGAUUAAUACCCCAUAAUAAAUUGAAUGGCAUCAUUUGAUUUUGAAAGUUCCGGCGGUUAAGGAUGAGUAUGCGUCUGAUUAGCUAGUUGGUGAGGUAAAGGCUCACCAAGGCAACGAUCAGUAGGGGAUCUGAGAGGACUACCCCCCACACUGGUACUGAGACACGGACCAGACUCCUACGGGAGGCAGCAGUAAGGAAUAUUGGUCAAUGGAGGCAACUCUGAACCAGCCAUGCCGCGUGCAGGAAGACGGCCCUAUGGGUUGUAAACUGCUUUUGUACGGGAGAAAACCCUUUCACGUGUGAGAGGUUGAUAGUACCGUAAGAAUAAGCAUCGGCUAACUUCGUGCCAGCAGCCGCGGUAAGACGAAGGAUGCAAGCGUUAUCCGGAUUCAUUGGGUUUAAAGGGAGCGUAGGUGGACUUGUAAGUCAGUGGUGAAUCUCUCAGCUUAACUGAGAAACUGCCAUUGAUACUGCAGGUCUUGAGUACAGAUGAUGUGGGCGGAAUAUGACAUGUAGUGGUGAAAUACUUAGAUAUGUCAUAGAACACCGAUUGCGAAGGCAGCUCACAAAACUGUAACUG
rnacentral:rRNA from 1 species